UCUCCGUAGGUGAACCUGCGGAGGGAUCAUUACAGAGUUCAUGCCCUACCGGGUAGAUCUCCCACCCUAUGUUAUUAUUACUUUGUUGCUUUGGCGGGCCGUUAGGCUCCGGCCCGACUACCGGCCCCGGCUGGUAAGCGCCCGCCAGAGGACCCAAAACCCUGAAUAUUAGUGUCGUCUGAGUACUAUAUAAUAGUUAAAACUUCCAACAACGGAUCUCUUGGUUCUG
rnacentral:misc_RNA from 1 species